rnacentral:rRNA from 1 species
AUGAACGCUAGCUACAGGCUUAACACAUGCAAGUCGAGGGGCAGCAUGGUCUUAGCUUGCUAAGGCCGAUGGCGACCGGCGCACGGGUGAGUAACGCGUAUCCAACCUGCCUUACACUCUUGGACAGCCUUCUGAAAGGGAGAUUAAUACAAGAUGUUAUCAUGAGUAAGCAUUUUCGCAUGAUUAAAGGUUUACCGGUGUAAGAUGGGGAUGCGUUCCAUUAGAUAGUAGGCGGGGUAACGGCCCACCUAGUCUUCGAUGGAUAGGGGUUCUGAGAGGAAGGUCCCCCACAUUGGAACUGAGACACGGUCCAAACUCCUACGGGAGGCAGCAGUGAGGAAUAUUGGUCAAUGGACGAGAGUCUGAACCAGCCAAGUAGCGUGAAGGAUGAAGGUUCUAUGGAUUGUAAACUUCUUUUAUACGGGAAUAAACGGAUCCACGUGUGGAUUUUUGCAUGUACCGUAUGAAUAAGGAUCGGCUAACUCCGUGCCAGCAGCCGCGGUAAUACGGAGGAUCCGAGCGUUAUCCGGAUUUAUUGGGUUUAAAGGGAGCGUAGAUGGGUUGUUAAGUCAGUUGUGAAAGUUUGCGGCUCAACCGUAAAAUUGCAAUUGAUACUGGCAGUCUUGAGUACAGUUGAGGUAGGCGGAAUUCGUGGUGUAGCGGUGAAAUGCUUAGAUAUCACGAAGAACUCCGAUUGCGAAGGCAGCUUACUAACCUGUAACUGACAUUGAUGCUCGAAAGUGUGGGUAUCAAACAGGAUUAGAUACCCUGGUAGUCCACACGGUAAACGAUGAAUACUCGCUGUAGGCGAUAUACAGUCUGCGGCCAAGCGAAAGCAUUAAGUAUUCCACCUGGGGAGUACGCCGGCAACGGUGAAACUCAAAGGAAUUGACGGGGGCCCGCACAAGCGGAGGAACAUGUGGUUUAAUUCGAUGAUACGCGAGGAACCUUACCCGGGCUUAAAUUGCAACCGAAUAUGGCGGAAACGCUAUAGCUAGCAAUAGCGGUUGUGAAGGUGCUGCAUGGUUGUCGUCAGCUCGUGCCGUGAGGUGUCGGCUUAAGUGCCAUAACGAGCGCAACCCUUGCCGAUAGUUACUAACAGGUCAUGCUGAGGACUCUGUCGGGACUGCCAUCGUAAGAUGUGAGGAAGGUGGGGAUGACGUCAAAUCAGCACGGCCCUUACGUCCGGGGCUACACACGUGUUACAAUGGGGGGUACAGAGGGCUGCUACCACGCAAGUGGAUGCCAAUCCCAAAAACCUCUCUCAGUUCGGAUUGAAGUCUGCAACCCGACUUCAUGAAGCUGGAUUCGCUAGUAAUCGCGCAUCAGCCACGGCGCGGUGAAUACGUUCCCGGGCCUUGUACACACCGCCCGUCAAGCCAUGGGAGCCGGGGGUACCUGAAGUGCGUAACCGCAAGGAGCGCCCUAGGGUAAAACUGGUGACUGGGGCUAAG